AUUACAAUGUAUAUGUAUUUUCUCCUUUUGUAAAAAAUACCUUGGUUUACUUAAAAAGUAUUAAAUUGCUUCUUUUAUAUAGUGAUAAUUUAUUUUUAAAAAUUCUUUUAACUGACAUGAUAAUAUAUAAAAAAUCUAAUAAAAGAGUAUUUGAUGAUGUUAAACCAUUAAAAUUGUUAGUUUGUUGUCGUUGUAUAGAAGUCAGUCUAUCUUAGCUAGCCAUCUUGCUUUUGUAGGUACAUCUGUGAAAUAGAAUGCUUCAGUAAGGCUCCAGGGGUCAGUAGACAAAAUAACAGGGGAGUUUUGAAAUCUACGUAAGACAUCCAUAUCUUUACUAGUUUCCCUUUAGUUCAAAGGGAAGUGUGGACUGGGAAAGUGGGGAUCAGAGACCAAGUGGGAAGGGUGAGUGCUCCACCAUGACCACUGAGUCUUCAUUUAAUUGCCCCAGCGACCAGAGGUGGAUUCCUCCCUCUCCUCCUAAUUCACAUAAUCCUCAUGCUCCAAUUAUUGCAUCCUCACUCAUAUAACCUUUAGAGGAAGAGAGAAAGGAAAGAAUGGAAGGGAAAAAUAGUUCUUUCUCCUUCCGCAAUAGAAUAAUCUUUCCCACAAGAUCCUUGCUCCCAACUGUUUCCCUUUGACUUUAUAAAAUUUACUUAUUAGUUACUAUCAAUUAUAAUGCAUAUGUAAUUGUUUAGAACAGGGUCAUCUGCCCACUUUUAGACAGAUCGUGACUCAUCAUUGGCAUUUUUAGUUGAAAUCCCUGUGCAGACAAAAACUGAUGUUCUUUUGACAAGAAACAUGAGUGGUUAGCUGUUGGGUAAAAAGUGAAUGCUGACCGUCACUCAUGUCUUGAAUUAGGUUUUACUAAAUUACAACUCUUCUCUCCAGACCUGAGCUCAACCCUAGACCGGACUGCAACUGCAACAUUUGUGAUUACAGUGGUUGGUGUGGGCAUCUCAGUAAACUUGCUGCCAUGAAAAAGAGGAAAUCAUCUGUUUAUUCUCAUCAGCCACAUUUUCUGGGCUAGGAAACAUCUAACCUAUCCUGAAUGUCAAGGUAGCACUUGUGCCUGCUCAAGGUAGUUGAUGAUUGUUUCGAUCAGUGGAAAGGGUCAAACAAAUAUUAACUUCUCAGAGUUUUCACUCCUAACAAAUUUUCUUCCAUGGUCAAAGUGGCAAGGGUUUCAUUCAGUGGACUGGAUGCAAUAACAGUCAAUAAAAUGACAAAAGCUUUUAAUUACAAGCAAAAUUAAUCCCUAGACGGAUCAGUUUUCUUACUUUUAAUGAAAGUAUCGAAUUCAGUCAUGAUUAUACAGGUAUGGAAAUUUGGGUUAUGUCCUUAAUAGUCUUUCUAGUUCCUUCUUUCUUCAUAGGCUUCACUUGUUUGAAAACUUCAAAUGCCAAAGUGAAAAAUGAAAGGGAUCAAAUCAUUGUUUUAAAGUGUCUCUUUUCUUGACUAGUACUAGAGUGUCAGGAGGAUGAUCACUUACCUCUUACUGAGUGGGGUGGGUGCUCUAUUUGGCCUUUUACAAAUAUUG
rnacentral:lncRNA from 1 species